GUAGGGAAUCUUCCACAAUGGGCGCAAGCCUGAUGGAGCAACACCGCGUGAGUGAAGAAGGGUUUCGGCUCGUAAAGCUCUGUUGUUAAAGAAGAACACGUAUGAGAGUAACUGUUCAUACGUUGACGGUAUUUAACCAGAAAGUCACGGCUAACUACGUACCAG
rnacentral:rRNA from 1 species